rnacentral:rRNA from 1 species
AGCGGCAGCGGAGAGUAGCUUGCUACUUUGCCGGCGAGCGGCGGACGGGUGAGUAAUGUCUGGGAAACUGCCUGAUGGAGGGGGAUAACUACUGGAAACGGUAGCUAAUACCGCAUAACGUCGCAAGACCAAAGAGGGGGACCUUCGGGCCUCUUGCCAUCAGAUGUGCCCAGAUGGGAUUAGCUAGUAUGUGGGGUAACGGCUCACCUAGGCGACGAUCCCUAGCUGGUCUGAGAGGAUGACCAGCCACACUGGAACUGAGACACGGUCCAGACUCCUACGGGAGGCAGCAGUGGGGAAUAUUGCACAAUGGGCGCAAGCCUGAUGCAGCCAUGCCGCGUGUAUGAAGAAGGCCUUCGGGUUGUAAAGUACUUUCAGCGGGGAGGAAGGUGUUGAGGUUAAUAACCUCAGCGAUUGACGUUACCCGCAGAAGAAGCACCGGCUAACUCCGUGCCAGCAGCCGCGGUAAUACGGAGGGUGCAAGCGUUAAUCGGAAUUACUGGGCGUAAAGCGCACGCAGGCGGUCUGUCAAGUCGGAUGUGAAAUCCCCGGGCUCAACCUGGGAACUGCAUUCGAAACUGGCAGGCUAGAGUCUUGUAGAGGGGGGUAGAAUUCCAGGUGUAGCGGUGAAAUGCGUAGAGAUCUGGAGGAAUACCGGUGGCGAAGGCGGCCCCCUGGACAAAGACUGACGCUCAUGUGCGAAAGCGUGGGGAGCAAACAGGAUUAGAUACCCUGGUAGUCCACGCCGUACACGAUGUCGACUUGGAGGUUGUGCCCUUGAGGCGUGGCUUCCGGAGCUAACGCGUUAAGUCGACCGCCUGGGGAGUACGGCCGCAGGGUUAAAACUCAUAUGAAUUGACGGGGGCCCGCACAAGCGGUGGAGCAUGUGGUUUAAUUCGAUGCAACGCGAAGAACCUUACCUACUCUUGACAUCCAGAGAACUUUCCAGAGAUGGAUUGGUGCCUUCGGGAACUCUGAAACAGGUGCUGCAUGGCUGUCGUCACCUCGUGUUGUGAAAUGUUGGGUUAAGUCCCGCAACGAGCGCAACCCUU